rnacentral:tRNA from 1 species
AGAGUGUUAGUUUAGUGGUCUAUAACUCUGAUGGCAGCAGAAUAGUUUAAACAUUAAGAGGACUUCAUCAGCAACGCAAGUUCGAAUCUUGCGCACUCUA